rnacentral:tRNA from 1 species
GUCCAGGGUAGCCUAGUGGACAUGGCAUCUGCCCGGUAAGCGGAACAAUGUGGGUUCGAUUCCCAUCCCUGGGCA